UGGAAUAGCAGGAUGUAUGCCCAUUCAUUUUGUCAUAAAGUUUGAGUCCUGAACCCUUGUGCUAUGAACAGAAGUAGUACCGUAAGUAUCUGUAUUCACAUCUUCAAGAGUUACAGUAAGCAACGCACGCACUGUUGUUUUCGACUGACCACUCAAAUACCUAGAACAGAUACUGACAUACUCUUGUUAGUAACAGAACAUGGUGAAAUUUCAAAAAUAAAUCUAUCUAAAAAAAAAAAAA